rnacentral:rRNA from 1 species
ACAGAGGAGCCAAGCGUUGUCCGGAUUGACUGGGCGUAAAGCGCACGCAGGCGGUUGCGCGCGUGGGGUGUGAAAUCUGGCCGCUUAACGGCCAGGCGCCAUCCCAUACGGCGCGACUGGAGGGCUGCAGAGGUCGAUGGAAUUGCCGGUGUAGUGGUGAAAUGCGUAGAGAUCGGCAGGAACACCCAGGGGGAAACCAGUCGACUGGGCAGCACCUGACGCUGAGGUGCGAGAGCGUGGGGAGCGAACCGGAUUAGAUACCCGGGUAGUCCACGCCGUAAACGAUGGCCACUCGGCCUUUGGAGGCGGAAUCUCCGUCUUUGGGGGCCUUAGCUAACGCGGGAAGUGGCCCGCCUGGGAACUACGAGCGCAAGCUUA